rnacentral:rRNA from 1 species
GUGGGGGAUAUUGCACAAUGGAGGAAACUCUGAUGCAGCGACGCCGCGUGAGUGAAGAAGUAUUUCGGUAUGUAAAGCUCUAUCAGCAGGGAAGAUAAUGACAGUACCUGACUAAGAAGCCCCGGCUAACUACGUGCCAGCAGCCGCGGUAAUACGUAGGGGGCAAGCGUUAUCCGGAUUUACUGGGUGUAAAGGGAGCGUAGACGGAAUGGCAAGUCUGAAGUGAAAUCCUGCGGCUUAACUGCAGAAUUGCUUUGGAAACUGUCAAUCUGGAGUGUUGGAGAGGUAAGCGGAAUUCCUGGUGUAGCGGUGAAAUGCGUAGAUAUCAGGAAGAACACCGGAGGCGAAGGCGGCUUACUGGACAAUAACUGACGUUGAGGCUCGAAAGCGUGGGAAGCAAACAGGAUUAGAUACCCUAGUAGUCC